rnacentral:rRNA from 1 species
CCUACGGGAGGCAGCAGUGAGGAAUAUUGGUCAAUGGGAGAGAUCCUGAACCAGCCAAGCCGCGUGAGGGAAGACGGCCCUAUGGGUUGUAAACCUCUGUUGUCGGAGAACAAAAACAGGGACGGGUCCCUGACUGCGUGUAUCCGAAGAAAAAGCAUCGGCUAACUCCGUGCCAGCAGCCGCGGUAAUACGGAGGAUGCGAGCGUUAUCCGGAUUUAUUGGGUUUAAAGGGUGCGUAGGCGGUCCGUUAAGUCAGCGGUAAAGUUGCGGGGCACAACCCUGUCGAGCCGUUGAAACUGGCAGACUACAGUUGGCGAGAAUUACGCGGAAUGCGCGGUGUAGCGGUGAAAGGCAUAG